UAACGCGUGGGUGACGUACCUAUCGGUGGGGAAUAACUGCCCGAAAGGGUGGCUAAUACCGCAUACGUCCACUGCUGCAUGGCAGUGGGGAAAAGUCGCAAGACUGCCGAUGGAGCGGCCCGCGUUCGAUUAGCUAGUUGGUGGGGUAACGGCCUACCAAGGCGACGAUCGAUAGCUGGUCUCAGAGGAUGAUCAGCCAGACUGGGACUGAGACACGGCCCAG
rnacentral:rRNA from 1 species